CUUUCUCCGAAUUUUUGUGCUGUUUCCUGGGCACAAACCCGUGAGAGCCAUCAAAGAGGAGUUUCACAGGAUUGCAGGAUUUCCGAAUGUGGUUGGAUGCAUUGAUGGCACACAUAUUCCCAUCAUUGCACCUUCCGAAAAUGAAGCGGACUAUGUCAACAGGAGGUCCAUCCACAGUAUUAAUGUGCAGAUCAUAUGUGAUGCUGCACAUCUCAUUACAAAUGUGGAGCCCAAGUGGCCCGGUUCUGUUC